GGCUCAGAUUGAACGCUGGCGGCAUGCCUUACACAUGCAAGUCGAACGGCAGCACGGGAGCAAUCCUGGUGGCGAGUGGCGAACGGGUGAGUAAUAUAUCGGAACGUGCCCAGUCGUGGGGGAUAACGUAGCGAAAGCUACGCUAAUACCGCAUACGAUCUAUGGAUGAAAGCGGGGGAUCGCAAGACCUCGCGCGAUUGGAGCGGCCGAUAUCAGAUUAGGUAGUUGGUGAGGUAAAGGCUCACCAAGCCGACGAUCUGUAGCUGGUCUGAGAGGACGACCAGCCACACUGGGACUGAGACACGGCCCAGACUCCUACGGGAGGCAGCAGUGGGGAAUUUUGGACAAUGGGCGAAAGCCUGAUCCAGCAAUGCCGCGUGCAGGACGAAGGCCUUCGGGUUGUAAAUUGCUUUUGUACGGAACGAAACGGUCUCUUUUAAUACAGGGGGCUAAUGACGGUACCGUAAGAAUAAGCACCGGCUAACUACGUG
rnacentral:rRNA from 1 species